AUUGAACGCUGGCGGCAGGCUUAACACAUGCAAGUCGAGCGGGGGAAGGUAGCUUGCUACCGGACCUAGCGGCGGACGGGUGAGUAAUGCUUAGGAAUCUGCCUAUUAGUGGGGGACAACAUCUCGAAAGGGAUGCUAAUACCGCAUACGUCCUACGGGAGAAAGCAGGGGAUCUUCGGACCUUGCGCUAACAGAUGAGCCUAAGUCGGAUUAGCUAGUUGGUGGGGUAAAGGCCUACCAAGGCGACGAUCUGUAGCGGGUCUGAGAGGAUGAGCCGCCACACUGGGACUGAGACACGGCCCAGACUCCUACGGGAGGCAGCAGUGGGGAAUAUUGGACAAUGGGGGGAACCCUGAUCCAGCCAUGCCGCGUGUGUGAAGAAGGCCUUAUGGUUGUAAAGCACUUUAAGCGAGGAGGAGGCUACUUUAGUUAAUACCUAGAGAUAGUGGACGUUACUCGCAGAAUAAGCACCGGCUAACUCUGUGCCAGCAGCCGCCGUAA
rnacentral:rRNA from 1 species